GCCAAAGGGGUCACCACUUUCCUACCACCGCACCAGGGCCAGGAAGAGAGGAGGAGCCAGGAGGUGACAAGGGGGCGUUACCCAGGACCGGGGAGCAAGCCCCGCCCACCUCCCCGGCGCGGGGCCGACCCGCCGCAGUAACCCGGCGCCGUGACCUGCGGCAGCAUUUCUUCUCAAAGCCCACAAACCUGCAAGGCGUCCACCCCCUGCGAAUAGAUGUGUGUGAAGGUCACGCAAGGCGACGAGGUCUGGCCCGGCCUAAGCCUCCACUGGUUUUCACUGGGCUCUGCUGGGCUCGCUUGGCUUCCUCCUGCGCAUGUGCAGGUUCCCAGCCUGUCGGGCCGCGCGGAGAGCCCAUCUCGACCCUUGGGCUGUCCGGUUACAGGGUUUUCUGUAAAAUGUAUGGCUGGUCCGCCGCGUACCCCCAUCAGGAGCACAUUUUCGGGCUUGCAGAAAGAUUGGUCACCAGAUUUGCCCAAAGCGAUAAUCCUCAGAGUUUCUGAAAGUUUUCAAAUUUAUGUCAGUAAGACUAUUUUGAAAAACCUGAUGAAAAUUACGACCUCUCUCUCUGGGCGAAAGAAAGCACAUCCUCCAACACACAAAAUGUUGUCUGAAUCACAGGGAAAUGACUGCCCCAGAUGAAGGAUUCUGGGGAGAAGAAAACAACAAGAAAAGCAACAGUGCACUCCUGACCCCUGAAGUUCAGAGCCGAUUUUAUCCAGUGGUAGACAAAUUCAAGCAAGCUUCAUGCCUGUUCUCCCAGCUCAGAUCAAGUGGAUGGCCCUGGAAAGAGACAGACUGACCAAAAAUAGGCAACAGCACCAAGAAGACGCCAGAUUCCUAGAAACACGAUCAUUUACCACAAAGGCAAAAAGACAAACACAGUGGCUCGCUGAUGACAUCACUGUUCGGUAUGGAAUGGCACGAUAACCCUGAGGAGCAGAACGUUUAAGCCGUAUCCAGUGGAGCAUGUUUAGAAAGAUAAAAGGAUGUUUAAUGGAUUUUGGAGAGAUUCUAUCAAAACAUGAACUAUUACAGUGAUGACAGGCGAAGAGAUAAGUUGCAUAUCUCCCAAAUGAUGUCAACCAAAUGAACGGCUGUCGGCUAUAAUUACCCAAAUUAUAGUGAGAGGAGAGGCCAUACUUGCCAUGAUUUGGGGGAAUUUCUACCUAUUACAGACCUAUUAUUAAAAAGAAAAUUAUAACAAUUUAAUAAGCAAAAUUAAUGUCUAUUUUUUUCCAAAAAAGCAAUAAGGAGUUCUCUCCAACCUCAAAACUUAAAAGAGGGAACUUACAUCUCAGGUCACUCUAUUCCUGCUUCUAGUGAGAAGUCUGUUGGAGCUAGAUUCUUCCCCGGCACUCACUGAACACCUGAAUGUUUUUUCAGCUUGAAUGUCCCUGAAGGCAUCUUGAGCAAGGAGGCAAUGGCUACCACGAUCCCAGGGUUGCGCAUGGAAUAUCAAGACCCUAAGGAAUGAAAUAACUUAACUUGUGGGAGCAUGGAGUCCACUCAAUAGUAGAGCUUCCAAUGUUGACUCUUUUUCCAUUAUGUUGCGCUGUUGAUUGUUUUAAGGUACUUAAAAAUAAAAACGAGAGGAAUCAAGAUCUAAGAAUGGGUAAGAGACAGGACUCCAUCUGGGGACACCAUGGGGGGGGGUCUUUGCUCAAUUCCUCAACUCACUCUUGUGCCGCACUGUCCACAUUUUCCUUCCUCUAGAUCCUUCCCUUCUUUAAUCAGAGAAGCUUUAAGAGUAGCAAUAGCAGGCGGUCCCCAAAGUGAUGUAACCUAAGCGCCACCUAGGAAGAGCCUUUACUCCAAAUGUUUUCUCCACCACUCUCACUGUUUUGUUGUUUUUUUUCUUUUUAAAAUGUCA